rnacentral:rRNA from 1 species
GGCUCAGAUUGAACGCUGGCGGCAUGCCUUACACAUGCAAGUCGAACGGCAGCACGGGAGCUUGCUCCUGGUGGCGAGUGGCGAACGGGUGAGUAAUACAUCGGAACGUACCCUGAAGUGGGGGAUAACGUAGCGAAAGUUACGCUAAUACCGCAUAUUCUGUGAGCAGGAAAGAGGGGGAUCGCAAGACCUCUUGCUUUAGGAGCGGCCGAUGUCGGAUUAGCUAGUUGGUGAGGUAAAGGCUCACCAAGGCGACGAUCCGUAGCGGGUCUGAGAGGAUGAUCCGCCACACUGGGACUGAGACACGGCUCAGACUCCUACGGGAGGCAGCAGUGGGGAAUUUUGGACAAUGGGCGCAAGCCUGAUCCAGCCAUGCCGCGUGAGUGAAGAAGGCCUUCGGGUUGUAAAGCUCUUUCGGUGGGGAAGAAAUUGCACAGGAUAAUACCUUGUGUAGAUGACGGUACCCGCAUAAGAAGCACCGGCUAACUACGUG